rnacentral:lncRNA from 1 species
AAGAAAACAAACUACCACUUCUUUUGGUCCUAUAGGAAACUUGAAUUCUAUCUAUAUUGGUGUUGGGCUACUUUAUUUUCACUUUCCCAUGGCUAGUACCCCCUGAUACUAACCAUAGUUUCAUCAAAACAAGCAACCAACUCAACAAAAACAGAAUCUGUCAAAUACAGACCAGUCUGUAGAAAUCUGUAUACUUCAUAUACUUCUGGGACCUCAAAAACGUUGAACAAUUACGACGGCCUGGGAAAAAGGCAUAUCAACCAGCAGAAAAAAGAAUCAACUCAAAAUCUCUUUCUGAAUAAAAAUAAAAAA